ensembl:snRNA U4 U4 spliceosomal RNA
AGCUUUGCGCAGUGGCAGUAUCGUAGCCAAUGAGGUUUAUCCGAGGCACGAUUAUUGCUAAUUAAAAAAAAGUCUCCCUAAUCCUAGUAAGUGUUAAAAAUUUUUGACUUUCACAUUUAUGUUUUUAAUCUUUUUAUAUGA